UUUUUCUGCUCCAGGUGAGGGGCAAGGAUGGGAAGAGGACACAGAAGAACCUGGAGUGGCUGAGUCUGGCCUGCCCAGGGCCCUGUGGUGAACAAGGGCAGUUAAUCUGGACCCACGUUGAUAAAAGGAGAUAUGCAGGUGAACAAUGUGCUUUUUCUUCACUGCUUUUGCUUCCCUGCUCUUUGCCUGCUCUCUCUGCUGUGCCCAGCCCUGCUGCUCUUGCACACUGCCUUAUUGCUGCCUGCUAAACUCCACUGCCGCAAGUUACCAGAAGCAGACCCAGGAUGCCUGCACGCGAUCAGCCUGUGUGGCCAGAGUGACAUCAUGCUGAGACUGCACCACAUCUGUCUCUGCACCUGAAGGUCCUGCCUAGAGUUUCUGGACAUAUAUAUGCAGAUUAUCCAGAAGAAGCCAGGAGACAAGGUCAGAGAUUGUCUGCAUCCUUUCCCCAGGAGCCAGGAAGAUUCAAGCCCCAACAUCCAAUAAUGCAAAGUCCCCUGAAAGCAUUUGGACACUGUCUGGACUGUGGCCAAGCCCCACGAGUGGGUAAUAAUAAUUUGUGAGCAAAUGCUUAAAUGUCUCUUUGUGAUUCUCCACUGCCUUCUGCCCUAGAGCAGAAAGAGCUUGAGCUCAUCUACUGGGCACGCGGCAUAUUGACUGCAAGUGACAUUUGACCACGGGAACCUUCUCUUCCAGUUCAAUUAAUGUAUAUGUAUUUUGCUGGUUAUUGCUAGAUCUAGAUAUUAUCCACAGAAUGUUUCCAUGACCGUGUAAGAACCCAAAUAUUAUUAAAAUCAGUGGUUCUGAAUAGCAAAAUUAAUAAACAAUAUUAAUUUUGGAAAAAUAUCAUCUUGCACCAAUUAAUUUCCCCUCCUCAACAACAGUGUAUUCCUAAAAGCAAUAAAGGCAGCUCUCAUUCUUCCUUC